AAUUUUACAUUUUCAGCUGUUAACUCAAUGAAAUGUUCUAGUAUUUAAGUAAGACCAGCUGCGUCGUCUGAUAAACUGAGAAGGUGUUAAGCGAUAUCGUUGGUCUUGCAUCAAUUUAUGUUAAUUGGGAACAACACGCUUUGUAUUUAUACCCAACUAAAAGAGUCGCGAAACAUGCGUUGGUGCAGCUCCCUGUUUAUGAACGAAAUUUCCAAAAUGAGGCAUAAACCAAACAGGGAUGUUUUACUUUUGUGUCUUGGCUUUCUUUGUUUCAGCCAAAUAUGCUGUGUAAGCCUUGGAAUCAUGCGAAGACAAGAGAGACACAGAGAGGAAAAAACAGAUGAUGUUAGAGUGGGGACCAUUAUGUUCGGCAGAGGAGAUAUUCCUGGCCCAGUGAAAGGUGAAGGAACUCGACACAUUGGCGAGGACACUGCAGAGGAUGGCUAUAACAUUCAAGCCGACGCUGGUGGGUUGGUGGAUGGACAAGAUGUCAUUGAUGACUCCAGUUCUUCUAAGGCAGCCUGGGCUAGUAUGCGACCAACUGUGUUAUGUACUAAGGACCUCAUGAAGUUCUCGGCACAAGGCCCAGGAUCCUCUUCACUUCAGCUAGACAGAGCAGGAGGAAAACCCCUUUCGCUAAACCAGCUGCCGCAGGACUGUGGUUACUCUGUGUACAGGACUGAACUGGGCCUUCUGUUUCUCAUCCAAUAUGAUGGUUGUGAUGUUAUAAAUCAGGGUGGCAACCAUUUGCUCCAGAUGUUAUGGCAAAGCAAUCCAGUAACCCUUUGUUGCCCUAUGUCAACCCAAGCCUCACAAUCUCCUAUGGAUCCACCACUUCAGCCUACUCCUGCUCCAACGGAAGCAACUUCAUCCACUGCCUCUAUGCUUCCUCCACAAAAUCAGCAACAGUUGAUGCAGCAGCAACAGUUGAAGCAGUCUUACUUCAUGCACCCAGGAUACUCUAACCCUUUCAUGCCAGUGAAGGAUCCCUCCCAAACUACAGAAGCAACUUCAUCCACUGCCUCUAUGCUUCCUCCACAAAAUCAGCAACAGUUGAUGCAGCAGCAACAGUUGAAGCAGUCGUACUUCAUGCACCCAGGAUACUCUAAUCCUUUCAUGCCAGUGAAGGAUCCCUCCCAAACUACUGCAGCUCCAACUACUGCAGCUCCAACUACUGCAGCUCCAACUACUACAGAAGCAACUUCAUCCACUGCCUCUAAGCUUCCUCCACAAAAUCAGCAGCAGCAACAGUUGACGAAGCAGCAACAGUUGAUGCAGUCUUACUUCAUGCACCCAGGAUACUCUAACCCUUUCAUGCCAGUGAAGGAUCCCUCCCAAACUACAGAAGCAACUUCAUCCACUGCCUCUAUGCUUCCUCCACAAAAUCAGCAACAGUUGAUGCAGCAGCAACAGUUGAAGCAGUCGUACUUCAUGCACCCAGGAUACUCUAAUCCUUUCAUGCCAGUGAAGGAUCCCUCCCAAACUACUGAAGCUCCAACUACUGCAGCUCCAACUACUGCAGCUCCAACUACUACAGAAGCAACUUCAUCCACUGCCUCUAAGCUUCCUCCACAAAAUCAGCAGCAGCAACAGUUGACGAAGCAGCAACAGUUGAUGCAGUCUUACUUCAUGCACCCAGGAUACUCUAACCCUUUCAUGCCAGUGAAGGAUCCCUCCCAAACUACAGAAGCAACUUCAUCCACUGCCUCUAUGCUUCCUCCACAAAAUCAGCAACAGUUGAUGCAGCAGCAACAGUUGAAGCAGUCGUACUUCAUGCACCCAGGAUACUCUAAUCCUUUCAUGCCAGUGAAGGAUCCCUCCCAAACUACUGCAGCUCCAACUACUGCAGCUCCAACUACUGCAGCUCCAACUACUGCAGCUCCAACUACUACAGAAGCAACUUCAUCCACUGCCUCUAAGCUUCCUCCACAAAAUCAGCAGCAGCAACAGUUGACGAAGCAGCAACAGUUGAUGCAGUCUUACUUCAUGCACCCAGGAUACUCUAACCCUUUCAUGCCAGUGAAGGAUCCCUCCCAAACUACAGAAGCAACUUCAUCCACUGCCUCUAUGCUUCCUCCACAAAAUCAGCAACAGUUGAUGCAGCAGCAACAGUUGAAGCAGUCUUACUUCAUGCACCCAGGAUACUCUAACCCUUUCAUGCCAGUGAAGGAUCCCUCCCAAACUACUGCAGCUCCAACUACUGCAGCUCCAACUACUGCAGCUCCAACUACUACAGAAGCAACUUCAUCCACUGCCUCUAAGCUUCCUCCACAAAAUCAGCAGCAGCAACAGUUGAUGCAGCAGCAACAGUUGAAGCAGUUGUACUUCAUGCACCCAGGAUACUCUAACCCUUUCAUGCCAGUGAAGGAUCCCUCCCAAACUACUGAAGCUCCAACUACUGCAGCUGCAACUACUACAGAAGCAACUUCAUCCACUGCCUCUAAGCUUCCUCCACAAAAUCAGCAGCAGCAACAGUUGAUGAAGCAGCAACAGUUGAUGCAGUCUUACUUCAUGCACCCAGGAUACUCUAACCCUUUCAUGCCAGUGAAGGAUCCCUCCCAAACUACAGAAGCAGCUUCAUCCACUGCCUCUAUGCUUCCUCCACAAAAUCAGCAACAGUUGAUGCAGCAGCAACAGUUGAAGCAGUCUUACUUCAUGCACCCAGGAUACUCUAACCCUUUCAUGCCAGUGAAGGAUCCCUCCCAAACUACUGAAGCUCCAACUACUGAAGCUCCAACUACUGCAGCUCCAACUACUACAGAAGCAACUUCAUCCACUGCCUCUAAGCUUCCUCCACAAAAUCAGCAGCAGCAACAGUUGACGAAGCAGCAACAGUUGAUGCAGUCUUACUUCAUGCACCCAGGAUACUCUAACCCUUUCAUGCCAGUGAAGGAUCCCUCCCAAACUACAGAAGCAACUUCAUCCACUGCCUCUAUGCUUCCUCCACAAAAUCAGCAACAGUUGAUGCAGCAGCAACAGUUGAAGCAGUCGUACUUCAUGCACCCAGGAUACUCUAAUCCUUUCAUGCCAGUGAAGGAUCCCUCCCAAACUACUGCAGCUCCAACUACUGCAGCUCCAACUACUACAGAAGCAACUUCAUCCACUGCCUCUAAGCUUCCUCCACAAAAUCAGCAGCAGCAACAGUUGACGAAGCAGCAACAGUUGAUGCAGUCUUACUUCAUGCACCCAGGAUACUCUAACCCUUUCAUGCCAGUGAAGGAUCCCUCCCAAACUACAGAAGCAACUUCAUCCACUGCCUCUAUGCUUCCUCCACAAAAUCAGCAACAGUUGAUGCAGCAGCAACAGUUGAAGCAGUCGUACUUCAUGCACCCAGGAUACUCUAACCCUUUCAUGCCAGUGAAGGAUCCCUCCCAAACUACUGAAGCUCCAACUACUGCAGCUGCAACUACUACAGAAGCAACUUCAUCCACUGCCUCUAAGCUUCCUCCACAAAAUCAGCAGCAGCAACAGUUGAUGAAGCAGCAACAGUUGAUGCAGUCUUACUUCAUGCACCCAGGAUACUCUAACCCUUUCAUGCCAGUGAAGGAUCCCUCCCAAACUACAGAAGCAGCUUCAUCCACUGCCUCUAUGCUUCCUCCACAAAAUCAGCAACAGUUGAUGCAGCAGCAACAGUUGAAGCAGUUGUACUUCAUGCACCCAGGAUACUCUAACCCUUUCAUGCCAGUGAAGGAUCCCUCCCAAACUACUGAAGCUCCAACUACUGCAGCUGCAACUACUACAGAAGCAACUUCAUCCACUGCCUCUAAGCUUCCUCCACAAAAUCAGCAACAGUUGAUGAAGCAGCAACAGUUGAUGCAGUCUUACUUCAUGCACCCAGGAUACUCUAACCCUUUCAUGCCAGUGAAGGAUCCCUCCCAAACUACAGAAGCAACUUCAUCCACUGCCUCUAUGCUUCCUCCACAAAAUCAGCAACAGUUGAUGCAGCAGCAACAGUUGAAGCAGUCUUACUUCAUGCACCCAGGAUACUCUAACCCUUUCAUGCCAGUGAAGGAUCCCUCCCAAACUACUGAAGCUCCAACUACUGCAGCUCCAACUACUACAGAAGCAACUUCAUCCACUGCCUCUAAGCUUCCUCCACAAAAUCAGCAGCAGCAACAGUUGAUGCAGUCUUACUUCAUGCACCCAGGAUACUCUAACCCUUUCAUGCCAGUGAAGGAUCCCUCCCAAACUACAGAAGCAACUUCAUCCACUGCCUCUAUGCUUCCUCCACAAAAUCAGCAACAGUUGAUGCAGCAGCAACAGUUGAAGCAGUCGUACUUCAUGCACCCAGGAUACUCUAAUCCUUUCAUGCCAGUGAAGGAUCCCUCCCAAACUACUGAAGCUCCAACUACUACAGAAGCAACUUCAUCCACUGCCUCUAAGCUUCCUCCACAAAAUCAGCAACAGUUGAUGAAGCAGCAACAGUUGAAGCAGUCGUACUUCAUGCACCCAGGAUACUCUAACCCUUUCAUGCCAGUGAAGGAUCCCUCCCAAACUACAGAAGCAACUUCAUCCACUGCCUCUAUGCUUCCUCCACAAAAUCAGCAACAGUUGAUGCAGCAGCAACAGUUGAAGCAGUCGUACUUCAUGCACCCAGGAUACUCUAACCCUUUCAUGCCAGUGAAGGAUCCCUCCCAAACUACUGAAGCUCCAACUACUGCAGCUGCAACUACUACAGAAGCAACUUCAUCCACUGCCUCUAAGCUUCCUCCACAAAACCAGCAGCAGCAACAGUUGAUGAAGCAGCAACAGUUGAUGCAGUCUUACUUCAUGCACCCAGGAUACUCUAACCCUUUCAUGCCAGUGAAGGAUCCCUCCCAAACUACAGAAGCAGCUUCAUCCACUGCCUCUAUGCUUCCUCCACAAAAUCAGCAACAGUUGAUGCAGCAGCAACAGUUGAAGCAGUCUUACUUCAUGCACCCAGGAUACUCUAACCCUUUCAUGCCAGUGAAGGAUCCCUCCCAAACCACUGAAGCUCCAACUACUACAGAAGCAACUUCAUCCACUGCCUGUAAGCUUCCUGCUCCAACUACAGGAGCAACUUCAUCCACUGCCUGUAAGCUUCCUCCUCAAAAUCAGCAGCAGCAACAGUUGAUGCAGCAUCAACAGUUGAAUAACCCCAACUUCAUGCACCCAGGAUACUCUAACCCUUGCAUGCCAGUGAAGGAUCCCUCCCAAACUACUGAAGCUCCAACUACAGGAGCAACUUCCACUGCCUGUAAGCUUCCUCCUCAAAAUCUGCAGCAACAGUUGACACUUGAUUUAGCAUCAACAGUUGAAUAACCCCAACUUCAUGCACCCAGGAUACUCUAACCCUUUCAUGCCAGUGAAGGAUUCCUCCCAAACUACUGAAGCUCCAACUACUACCCGUUAGUCCCACAAGACAUGCUGGCUAUGUCCCUUUUAAUAAAUGUCUCCAGACCAAGAGUAAUUGAGGAGAC
ensembl:lncRNA